rnacentral:rRNA from 1 species
UGAGGAAUAUUGGACAAUGGGCGAAAGCCUGAUCCAGCAACGCCGCGUGAGUGGUAAGGCCUUCGGGUUGUAAAGCUCUUUUAGUGGGGAAGAUGAUGACGGUACCCACAGAAAAAGCCCCGGCUAACUUCGUGCCAGCAGCCGCGGUAAUACGAAGGGGGCAAGCGUUACUCGGAAUCACUGGGCGUAAAGGACGCGUAGGCGGGAAGCCAAGUCUGAUGUGAAAUCCUAUGGCUUAACCAUAGAACUGCAUUGGAAACUGGUUACCUAGAGUAUGGGAGGGGGAGAUGGAAUUAGUGGUGUAGGGGUAAAAUCCGUAGAUAUCACUAGGAAUACCGAAAGCGAAGGCGAUCUCCUGGAACAAUACUGACGCUAAGGCGUGAAAGCGUGGGGAGCAAACG